rnacentral:rRNA from 1 species
UACGAAGGGUGCUAGCGUUGUUCGGAAUUACUGGGCGUAAAGCGCGCGUAGGCUGUUUUGCAAGUUGGGGGUGAAAUCCCGGGGCUUAACCCCGGAACUGCCUUCAAAACUGCGAGGCUAGAGUGUGGGAGAGGUGAGUGGAAUUCCGAGUGUAGAGGUGAAAUUCGUAGAUAUUCGGAAGAACACCAGUGGCGAAGGCGGCUCACUGGACCACAACUGACGCUGAGGCGCGAAAGCGUGGGGAGCAAACAGG